GGACACUCCCGCUGCCUCCGCUCGGUCCCCUCUUGUCCCUGGCAGUGUGGGGAGGGCUGUCGGGGGGCUUCCGUGGGUCGGGCCUCUCUCACCCAGAGAGGAAGGAGCUGGGGGAAGCCCCCGGCGCCCGCCGCCUCCGGAGAGCCGCGGAGUCCCGGGCAGUGCAGGCGCAGAAGACGAGCCCGGGCGGGGCCCCAGUCGGUAGAGCCUGUCGCCGUCCGUGUCCGGAGCGGCGGUCCGCGCCCGCCGGCUCGGCGCCCCGGGCCCCCCGCCCCGGGCCGGAGAGGCCCCACCCUGCCGGGCGUGGGCGACUGCCGGCCGGGGGUGCGCGGAGCUGCCCUCGCGGGGCCUCGCCGCGGCCUCCAGCGCCCUAGCCCCGGGGAAUGCAGUGGUCCCCGGCCCCUGGCGCCUCUGCGUGUCUGGGCUGGACUUCCUCGCUCGCUUGCUCCGCGGUCACGACGCUCCCGAGCCGCGCCGGCCGGGCCCCCCUCAUGGCGGCCAAGUGGUUCAAGGAGUUCCCCCUGAACCUGAAGACCGUGUCGGAGCGGGCCAAGCCCGGUGGCGGCAGCGGCGGCAAACUGCGCAAGAACUCGGAGGCGGGCGGCGCUGGGCCAACUCCGGGCAAGGGCCGCAAGAACUCGGCGGCUGAGCUGGGGAGCGGCAGGGCGGGCGGCGGCCCCCCCAAGGACAGCAGGCUCUCCCGGGAUAGCCUGCAGGGACUGAUUCAGGCCGCCGCCGGCAAGGGCCGCAAGAACUCCCGGGCCGCCGAGGAGGAACCCCACCGGGGCGCAACCAAGAGCUCAGGCUGCAGCACCUACAUCAACAGGCUCAUUAAGGUGGACACUCAGGAGAAGAAUGGGAAGAGCAACUAUCCCAGCAGCAGCAGCAGUAGCAGCAGCAGCAGCUCUUCCUCCGCGUCCUCUUCCCCUUCCUCCCUGGGCCCCGAACUGGACAAGGGCAGGAUUAUUAAGCAGCAAGAGACGGUCAUCAUUUUAGAAGACUAUGCUGACCCCUAUGAUGCCAAACGGACAAAAGGUCAAAGGGAUGCAGAGAGAGUGGGAGAAAACGAUGGUUACAUGGAACCCUAUGAUGCCCAGCAAAUGAUAACAGAAAUCAGAAGACGAGGUUCGAAAGAUCCCCUGGUGAAGGCUCUUCAGCUGCUCGACAGCCCCUGCGAGCCCGGGGAAAACGGCCCGAAACCGGAGACGCUGGCCAAAAGGCGGAGUUCCAAGGAUCUGCUGGGGAAAGCUCCGCAGCUCUACGACACUCCCUACGAGCCCUCGGCAGAGGGAGGGUGCAGGGCCGAGGGCCCCGCGGGCACGGGCCCCGAGCGGAAGGCACGGCCCCCCGACGGCAGGCUCCCGGAGAACGACGAGCGGCCGGCGGCCGAGUACGAGCAGCCCUGGGAGUGGAAGAAGGAGCAGAUCGUGCGGGCCCUGUCAGUCCAGUUUGAAGGAUCUGAGCGACCUUCCAUCAAGGAGGAGACAGUGAGGCAGCACCACCGGCAGAAGAGCUGGACCCAGAAGAUCUUAAAGCCAACCCUGUGUGACCACAGUGAGGGAGAGCGGGUGGACCCAGCACUGCCCUUGGAGAAGCAGCCGUGGUAUCACGGGGCCAUCACCCGUGCAGAGGCUGAGAGUCGGCUACAACCCUGCAAAGAAGCUGGUUACCUGGUUCGAAACAGUGAGUCAGGGAACAGUAGGUACUCCAUUGCGCUAAAGACUAGUCAAGGAUGUGUCCACAUCAUAGUGGCUCAGACCAAAGACAACAAAUACACGCUGAAUCAGACAAGCGCGGUGUUUGACAGCAUCCCCGAAGUGGUACACUAUUACUCCAAUGAAAAGUUGCCUUUCAAAGGGGCAGAACACAUGACCUUACUCUACCCCGUGCACAACAAGCUGCACUAAGGCUCGGCCACCGCCUAGCCCCAGGCACAGGAUGAAUGGGGCGUCUCAUACCUAAGAGGGCAGCAGCAUGGACACGGCUGGACAGCUCCUUAAUAAUUAGUAGGAAAUGGGAGUUUUCAUUUAAAAAAUCAAGGAGUCUUUGGUCCCAAAUCCAUUCCAUGACACUUCUUACUGACCUGUCCUUUCUCCUUGCUAAGUAGUUCUCUAAGAAGUAAUCAUAACUUACCCAUUGCUCUGGAAUAGGGUGUUCUAUUCAGGGGGUGACCUUCAGGAAAGAAAGGUAAGUCAAGAGUUCAGGAAGGAUUACAGAUCUUUCUUGCCCUGGUUUUAUCAUUGCUGUGGAAUAUUAAAGUUCUCCAGAAAUGUGCAAGUUUGUUACCUGGAAUACCUGGUCUCUAAACAAACAAGCAUGAAAAUCACUUUGUUGUGCAGCCCUUUGCUUUUGCACAAGACAAAAAAUGAUGGCGUGGACAAGAAGAGCAUGUACCACCGGAUACCUUCUCAGGGAAGUGAUGAGCAGAGGAAAUGUGAACGAACAAGAUAUUUCUCUGAAUUUGCAGCAUCCAUAGCUUCAAUUCCAUUCAACAAGUAUUUAUUAUCUUCAUAUACAAAUAAUUCAUUGUUAAACUUAUUUUUAGGUUCAACAUUCUAUAAACAAAACUUAUUUUUUACUUAUUCUACAAAGGAAAUCCAGCAGUUAUCCUAAUUUUAAUAAAUGCUAAAAGCUUUAUAAAGUUUUCCUUGGUGCACUAACUGAUUUUUGGCCCAUACCCAGCAACUCUGAUGAAUAUACAGUGAAAUAACAUUGAAAGCGGAGCUGAUACAUUAAGGAUUUAUUGACCUUCUGUCAUGUGUCCAGUAUUGCACUUCCUUUAUACUGUUUUUUCUGUGACAGUCUUACUGUUUUCUUUACACAAUUAAAAGUGGAGGAGAUGUGGAGUUGAUGCCAUAGACUGGCUACUUCAUAAUUGUACAGGCGCUUAUAAGAAGAGGAAAUACAGUAAAUUAGUAGGAUGCGGGGUUAAGUUGCUAUUUUCUUCUUAAGGUUGUGAAGCUGACAAAAGCCAGGGAAUUCACAGCUGGGUGUCAGCACAAAGUACCAUAUGUUCUAAAAACAAUUAGGCCCGGCAGGGGGCCCCUAACGGCUUCCUUGUUAAGCCUCCUGGGCCAGGCUGGCUGAGCUGAAGCCCUAUGACUAGUUUCCUCUCUCAGCUCUGAAGGCUUGGGCUUUUUGUCAUUUUUGUCCUGAUACAAAUAUUUUCCUGUAGUCUUAAUGCUUCUGAGUUAAUUCUCUCUCCCAGGAUGUUUCCUGGUUCCUUCUAGAGAAAACAAAUUCUUCUAGAAAAUUUCGUCUUCACUUGCCUUGCAGUUUAGCAUCCAUAGGGCUUGCUGUAUCUGUUCUUUCUCCUUUAUCACACCCCCUUUUUAAGCAUCCUCUGCUUCUGGCUCCUAGGUGAGUUUGUUUAGUUGGUUAGUUUCAGGUAUAUAAGAACAGAAGGUAAAGGACACGUCUAUUUACUUUGAUACCAUAGCUCCACUCUCAGCAUGGGUUUCAACCACUGGAGUUAGGUGUUUGUAAAGUAGGAAUAGAAUCAUGAAGAGAUGUUAAUAUGUGUAAAUAACAGAGGUAAAUAGGGAUAUGCCUUCUCUCUUGUGGGGCAGGAAUGCCCUUUUAAGUUAUCCAAAAGACUUUCUUAAGAAGCACUUAAACAAAGAACCUUUAUUCUUUGCUCUUUAAAGUCUCCCUACCUUAAAUUGUGAUUAGUUUGUUGGCCUCUGCCUAAGGAGGGGGCUGGGCAGGUAGUCUGUAGGGACAGCCAGAUGCUUCCGAGGCAGGUGGGUAAACAGUCCUAAUUUUUUGAUUGGCUUAUUUAACUAUGCCAUUACUCUGGUAUUGGCCAUUAUUGUUGGAUACAUCUCAAUAUUUUAAUUCAGAAGAACAACUAUGUGCAUUUGAGACACUUGUUGCUUUUUAUAUGAGGGUAACCUUUCUAUUCUUUCCAAAUGCCCCCUUUCAGUCAAAGGUUAAUACCUCGUUUAUUUUUCAGUGUGGGGGAAAAAAAAACAGUGAUGUCUAGGUUUCAUUUCUCUUCUCUGUGUACACGGCCCUUUGAACAUUUAGCAAAAUUUCAUUGAUACCUUUCUCACAGAUCUCAUUCAUUGGUUGAGUCUUUUUUCUAUGAUUAGGACCACUUUGGCCCUGUGAUCUCUUUAGAAUCACUCUUCUUUUCCUUUUCUCCAAUUUUUGUAUCUCACCAACUUUGAUUUAGAGAAACUUGGCUAGCAGUGGACAUUCUCUUCAGUUUACCUUCAUUAAUUUCCGACCCCAUUGAAGAGAUGGGGUAUCACUGCCAUCUAGUGGAAAGAGAGCAAACUGCAGUGGGAAGACAAGCUGCGUGCUUCAGAAUAGCGCCUGAGCCACGUGCCCUGAGACUCGUUAAACCCUUUCCAAGUUUUCUAAAGGAUUUCUGAUACCGUCCUUAAUGGGGAAAAAAUGACACAGUGGUUUCCAUCUUGAAGUAUGUACUUUUCCUUUGAAAAGGGUGAUUUACAAGCCGAGUACAACUGUCAUCACAUCAUGAGACCCCUGGACUGUUGGCUGUCUGUGUAGUUUAGAAUCUUAAAUUGCAUUUUCAUGAAUAUGCCAGCAUCAGAUAAUCGAGACAGGCAUUUCGUUUUGUCAAGUUCUUAACCAUUUAGUUGUUUUGUCAGGGGGCUUAACAUUUUAAAUACCAACUAAUACAAAGUUUUAGCUUUUAAAAAUAUUUGAAGAUUGUAUGUAAUAUAGGUGACUAGCUGUAGUGCUUUAGUUAUUUUUAUUUAUAUUGUAUCAGAAACAUUUUAUGACAUUUCUGGAUGUACUGCAGUACCAAAUAUAGGCUGCGUUCUCUCCUGAAGAUGGUUUACUCUGAAAUGUACCUUUAAAUAAACAUUAUUCCAAGAAAAUUAUUGUUUUUCCUUAAUUCAAUUAGGUUGAGAAUCACCUCCCUUCAUAAAAAUACUUCCUGUGGUUACAACUGUAGCAGAGAAGGUCAAAAACUUCACUUGUGAUCAUUGCUAAUGAAAUGUAUAAAUAAACCAUGAUUGAACUUAA